rnacentral:rRNA from 1 species
UACGAGGGGGGCGAGCGUUGUUCGGAAUUAUUGGGCGUAAAGGGUGCGUAGGCGGUUUUGUAAGUCUUAUGUGAAAUCUAUGGGCUCAACUCAUAGACUGCAUGAGAAACUGCAGGGCUUGAGUAUGGGAGAGGUGAGUGGAAUUCCUGGUGUAGCGGUGAAAUGCGUAGAUAUCAGGAGGAACACCUGUGGCGAAAGCGGCUCACUGGACCAUAACUGACGCUGGAUGCACGAAAGCUAGGGGAGCAAACAGG